rnacentral:rRNA from 1 species
AUUGAACGCUGGCGGCACGCCUAACACAUGCAAGUCGAGCGGCAGCGUGGUUAGUAGCAAUACUAACUGACGGCGAGCGGCGGACGGGUGAGUAGACCGUAGGAACCUGCCUUAUAGAGAGGGAUACCCAAGGGAAACUUUGGUUAAUACCGCAUGCACUCGAGAGAGGAAAGCAGCAGCAAUGAUGCGCUAUAAGAGGGGCCUGCGACUGAUUAGCUAGUUGGAGAGGUAAGAGCUCCCAAGGCGAUGAUCAGUAACUGGUCUGAGAGGACGACCAGUCACACUGGGACUGAGACACGGCCCAGACUCCUACGGGAGGCAG